AACUAUAUGGUGUAAUACCUAAAAAUAAUUCAAGAAUUCAGAAUAAUGUUUUCAUGUCGGUAAAUAGAAUUACCGUAUUUAUCCGUGUUUUUGACAGGUCCGUCCGUGGACCGUACGGACGGCAAAAUUACUGUACCGCCCCAACCGAGACUGUACGGCUGGCAACACUGACCACAGUGCAAAAGUCAAAUAAACGUAUAACGGACAUUUAUUACACAUUACGGCAGCAACGUAGGUGUGUGUGCGCGUGCGUGCGUGCGCGCGCGCGUGGGUGGGUAUGGAUUAUAACGCCCGUUCGAAUUCCAUUGCUGUCCGAAAUACCCCAUGCAUGUGUAAGUGCGCACCCCUAACCUUUUCGUCAUUUCCGAUGACUUUAAAUUGUACGUACAGCUUUCGAAAUUAUUUCCGAAUUUCUCCAUUAACGCCACCAUCCCCUCCUACCACAUCAAUGUCGCUUCGCGCAAGACAACCGCCGACACCACUACCACAACAAUUCUCGCAUCACGCUGCUCAACACACCGCCGCCCAAACAACCACUACUGUCUCCCGCUACAUCUACCACUAAUAAUUAUUUUAUAGAUAUAUUGAAUAAUAUAUCUAUAAUAAUAAAAAAUUAUAAAGAAAACCAGAGAAUGAUACAAAGUACAAACUUUAGAAAACAGCGAAAUAAACAGAAAGUAUGCGGAAAACAUUCGACAAAAUCUUGAAAGAAUUAUCUUAGAAAUCGCAGAUAACGCUAAUGACGAUAUAAACAGUAGAUGGAGACUAAUAAAACACGAAGUGACUAACAGCGCAAAUGUGGCUGGCCAAAUUUAAUUUAUAGUCUAAAUCAGGACGACGCUUUUGGCAUGGAUGUAAAACAUAGGACUAUAUGCAGUUGGAUGAAAUUGAAGAAACAUCAGGUGUUAUAUGAGAAAAUUUCAAUGAGGCUAAAAGGUAAAUUGAAAUUUUACAGGAGUGUAUUGAAACUAACUAUGCAUCACUAUGGUUCAGAGAGUUGGGUGGUUAACAGAAGAAUAGAACAAAGUAUGAGUGUGGCGGAAAUGAGAAUGCUUAGAAUGAGUGGAGUGGCAAGAGAAGAUAGUAUAAGGAACGAAUAUGUGAAAGGUAGUAUUGGUGUAUUAUAGAAAAUAAUAAUCAAAUGUUAAAAUAAAUCCGUCAUGUACUUUUUUGGUUAGCUAAUUUCUCAUCAUUAAAAAUAUUACUUUUAGUAUUUCAUUAAAUCAGCAUUUCUCAAACUGUGGGUCGCGAGUCAA